rnacentral:rRNA from 1 species
GACGAACGCUGGCGGCGUGCCUAAUACAUGCAAGUCGUACGCAUCUUUUUCACCGGAGCUUGCUCCACCGAAAAAGAUGAGUGGCGAACGGGUGAGUAACACGUGGGUAACCUGCCCAUCAGAAGGGGAUAACACUUGGAAACAGGUGCUAAUACCGUAUAAUAGUUUGACCCGCAUGGGUUGUAUUUGAAAGGCGCUUUUGCGUCACUGAUGGAUGGACCCGCGGCGUAUUAGCUAGUUGGUGAGGUAAUGGCUCACCAAGGCAACGAUACGUAGCCGACCUGAGAGGGUGAUCGGCCACAUUGGGACUGAGACACGGCCCAAACUCCUACGGGAGGCAGCAGUAGGGAAUCUUCGGCAAUGGACGAAAGUCUGACCGAGCAACGCCGCGUGAGUGAAGAAGGUUUUCGGAUCGUAAAACUCUGUUGGUAAAGAAGAACAAGGGUGAGAGUAAAAAGUUCACUCCUUGACGGUAUUUACCCAGAAAGCCACGGCUAACUACGUGCCAGCAGCCGCCGUAA